AGAGUUUGAUCCUGGCUCAGAACGAACGCUGGCGGCAUGCCUAACACAUGCAAGUCGAACGAACUCUUCGGAGUUAGUGGCGCACGGGUGCGUAACGCGUGGGAAUCUGCCCUUGGGUACGGAAUAACUCAGAGAAAUUUGUGCUAAUACCGUAUAAUGUCUUCGGACCAAAGAUUUAUCGCCCAAGGAUGAGCCCGCGUAAGAUUAGCUAGUUGGUGAGGUAAAAGCUCACCAAGGCGACGAUCUUUAGCUGGUCUGAGAGGAUGAUCAGCCACACUGGGACUGAGACACGGCCCAGACUCCUACGGGAGGCAGCAGUGGGGAAUAUUGGACAAUGGGCGAAAGCCUGAUCCAGCAAUGCCGCGUGAGUGAUGAAGGCCUUAGGGUUGUAAAGCUCUUUUACCCGGGAUGAUAAUGACAGUACCGGGAGAAUAAGCUCCGGCUAACUCCGUGCCAGCAGCCGCGGUAAU
rnacentral:rRNA from 1 species